rnacentral:rRNA from 1 species
UCCACGCCGUAAACGAUGGAUACUAGCUGUUGGAGGUAUCGACCCCUUCAGUAGCGAAGCUAACGCGUUAAGUAUCCCGCCUGUGGAGUACGGUCGCAAGACUAAAACAUAAAGGAAUUGACGGGGACCCGCACAAGCGGUGGAUCGUGUUCUUUAAUUCGAUGAUAAACGAAGAACCUUACCAGGGUUUGACAUCCCGAGAAUUUCUGCGAAAGCAGAGAGUGCUUUAUUGAACUCGGUGACAGAUGAUGCAUGGCCGUCGUCAGCUCGUGUCGUGAGAUGUUUGGUUAAGUCCAUUAACGAGCGCAACCCUUGUGAAUAGUUGUAUUUUUCUAUUCAGACUGCCCCGGCAACGGGGAGGAAGGAGGGGAUGAGGUCAGGUCUGUAUUUCUCUUACAUCCUGGGCUAGAAACACGAUACAA